ACCACCACACCUCCACCUACAUCCAUCACUCUUCCUCCUGUUCUCUCUGUGCUGUUGCCCAUUGGGUCAGUGUAUGUUGUGGUUCCACUGGUGUUACUGGUUCUGCUGGUGAGACGAUGUGUUCACAGGAAACUUGAAGAUGGAGAAGAUGACAUCACCAGUAGCAUCACAUGCAGUGUUGUGAAAUCAUCCAAUCAUCAACAACCUCCAGUCAAAGAAACCAGAGAGGAAGAGACUGAUUCAGCUGUGAUCUACUCAGCAGUGAGAACUGAAGACGUCCGUUAUGGACAAACAACCAUCAGAACAAGGAG